AUUGAACGCUGGCGGCAGGCUUAACACAUGCAAGUCGAGCGGGGUGAUGGUGCUUGCACUAUCACUUAGCGGCGGACGGGUGAGUAAUGCUUAGGAAUCUGCCUAUUAGUGGGGGACAACAUCUCGAAAGGGAUGCUAAUACCGCAUACGUCCUACGGGAGAAAGCAGGGGAUCACUUGUGACCUUGCGCUAAUAGAUGAGCCUAAGUCGGAUUAGCUAGUUGGUGGGGUAAAGGCCUACCAAGGCGACGAUCUGUAGCGGGUCUGAGAGGAUGAUCCGCCACACUGGGACUGAGACACGGCCCAGACUCCUACGGGAGGCAGCAGUGGGGAAUAUUGGACAAUGGGGGGAACCCUGAUCCAGCCAUGCCGCGUGUGUGAAGAAGGCCUUAUGAUUGUAAAGCACUUUAAGCGAGGAGGAGGCUCGUUUGGUUAAUACCCAAGAUGAGUGGACGUUACUCGCAGAAUAAGCACCGGCUAACUCUGUGCCAGCAGCCGCAGUAA
rnacentral:rRNA from 1 species